rnacentral:rRNA from 1 species
UGAGGAAUAUUGGUCAAUGGGCGAGAGCCUGAACCAGCCAAGUAGCGUGCAGGAUGACGGCCCUAUGGGUUGUAAACUGCUUUUAUAUGGGAAUAAAGUGAGGGACGUGUCCCUUAUUGCAUGUACCAUACGAAUAAGGACCGGCUAAUUCCGUGCCAGCAGCCGCGGUAAUACGGAAGGUCCAGGCGUUAUCCGGAUUUAUUGGGUUUAAAGGGAGCGUAGGCUGUUUGUUAAGCGUGUUGUGAAAUGUAGGAGCUCAACUUUUAGAUUGCAGCGCGAACUGGCAGACUUGAGUGCGCACAACGUAGGCGGAAUUCAUGGUGUAGCGGUGAAAUGCUUAGAUAUCAUGACGAACUCUGAUUGCGAAGGCAGCUUACGGGAGCGCAACUGACGCUAAAGCUCGAAGGUGCGGGUAUCGAACAGG